rnacentral:rRNA from 1 species
AACCCGCGGAACGGCUCAUUACAACAGCUAUAUCUACUCGAUCUUGAACAGUUACUGGAUAACUGUGGUAAUUCUAGAGCUAAUACGUGCACCAAAGCUGUCUCCCCCAGGGGGCAGUGCAUUUAUUGGAGCAAAACCAGGCCGCUUGGCGGUGUUCUGCUGACUCAGAAUAACUAAGCUGAUCGCAUGGGCUUGUCCGGCGACGUGUCGUUCGAGUGUCUGCCUUAUCAACUUUCGAUGGUAGUGUACGUGACUACCAUGGUUGUGACGGGUAACGGAGGAUCAGGGUUCGACUCCGGAGAAGGGGCCUGAGAAAUGGCCACUACGUCUAAGGAUGGCAGCAGGCGCGCAAAUUACCCACUCUCGGUUCGAGGAGGUAGUGACGAAAAAUAACAAGGUGGUUCUCUACGAGGCCCACCAUUGGAAUGGGUACAACUCAAACCCUUUAACGAGUAUCAAUGAGAGGGCAAGUCUGGUGCCAGCAGCCGCGGUAAUUCCAGCUCUCAAAAUGCAUAGAACCAUUGCUGCGGUUAAAAAGCUCGUAGUUGGAUCUGUGCCGGCGCCGUGGUCCACCCGAAAGGGCGGUACUGCGUGCGUCGGCUUUCGGGCCGGUCUUGGGCCGGCGCUCUUCACUGGGCGUCCGGUUCUGGCUGGCUGGUUUACUUUGAGCAAAUCAGAGUGCUCAGCACAGGCGUUUCGCCGGAAUGUUCGUGCAUGGAAUAAUAGAACAGGAUCACGGUCCUCUUUUAUUGGUUUUGUGGACUGAGAUAAUGGUUAACAGAGACGAACGGGGGCAUUCGUAUUGCUGCGUGAGAGGUGAAAUUCUUGGACCGCAGCAGGACGGACUACAGCGAAAGCAUUUGCCAAGCGCGUCUUCAUUAAUCAAGAACGAAAGUCAGAGGUUCGAAGGCGAUCAGAUACCGCCCUAGUUCUGACCGUAAACGAUGCCAACUAGCGAUCCGCCGGCGGCUACAAGGCCCUGGUGGGGAGCUUCCCGGAAACGAAAGUCUUCCGGUUCCGGGGGAAGUAUGGUUGCAAAGCUGAAACUUAAAGGAAUUGACGGAAGGGCACCACCAGGAGUGGAGCCUGCGGCUUAAUUUGACUCAACACGGGAAAACUCACCCGGCCCGGACACCGUGAGGAUUGACAGAUUGAUAGCUUUUUCAUGAUUCGGUGGUUGGUGGUGCAUGGCCGUUUCUUAGUUA